CACGUAGGGGGCAAGCGUUGUCCGGAUUCAUUGGGCGUAAAGAGCUCGUAGGCGGUUCGAUAAGUCGGGUGUGAAACCUCCAGGCUCAACCUGGAGACGCCACCCGAUACUGUCGUGACUAGAGUCCAGUAGGGGAGCGUGGAAUUCCUGGUGUAGCGGUGAAAUGCGUAGAGAUCAGGAAGAACACCGGUGGCGAAGGCGCUCUGCUAGGCCGCAACUGACACUGAGGGACGAAAGCUAGGGGAGCGAAUGGG
rnacentral:rRNA from 1 species